CAGCAGCCGCGGGAAUACGAAGGGUGCAAGCGUUACUCGGAAUUACUGGGCGUAAAGCGUGCGUAGGUGGUGGUUUAAGUCCGUUGUGAAAGCCCUGGGCUCAACCUGGGAAUUGCAGUGGAUACUGGGUCACUAGAGUGUGGUAGAGGAUAGUGGAAUUUCCGGUGUAGCAGUGAAAUGCGUAGAGAUCGGAAGGAACAUCUGUGGCGAAGGCGACUAUCUGGGCCAACACUGACACUGAGGCACGAAAGCGUGGGGAGCAAACAGGAUUAGAUACCCCUGUAGUCCUUGUCUCUUAUAC
rnacentral:rRNA from 1 species